UUGAGUCCUGAGCCGCAGAGGACAGGAAAUGGGCUCCUGCGGGGGAAGCCAGGCAGGCGGGAGGCAGCGGUAGAGACAUGGCCAUCCUGGGCUUGGACCCUGGGAGCUGUCAGUGACAGCUCGGCUUUCUGGCUGGGGCAGGGAGGACUGGAAGGGGAAGGUGCCCAGAGCCGGGGAGGAUGCCCUUGGCUGUUCUUAGGACAGCGCUGGCCCGCACUGGGGACCCCGCAGGAUCCACCAGGCACACACAGGAAAAGGAAUCUGGUAUUGGCAAAGGAUGCCAGGGCCUCGAGAAUCCUAGGAGCUCUAUCACUAAGCUACGUCUCCAGCGCUCUUGAAAACCAGAGGACUCUGAGAUAAGGGUCUUGCUCAAUAGCCCAGGCUGGUCUUAAACUUGUCACCCUUCUGCUUCAGACUCCUGAUUCCAGGACUGUGCCACCAAGCCUGCUCACUUACAAGGUUUUUGGAAUCCUACUUCAUCCUGGAUCAGCGCUGUGGAUGCGAGUAUGUGUUCUAUGAUUCCUGUGGACUCGGAAAUGGGUUGAAUAUGAGUCCAAAGCACUGAUGGGGAAGGAAACUGA